GUGAGGGGAAUACGGGUACAAAAACGGGUUCUUUCCCUAGUGGAGAUGAUGGGGGUUGGAUCCCCACUGCAGAGGCCGGGCCUCCCUUUUAUACUGGCUUUGGUCCUCUUCCCCCAAAAAAUAUUGGCGGGAAGGGUUGCCACAAAGGGCAUUCUAAAAGGGGAUAGGACAAUCGUCCGCCCUAAUAAAGAUGGUCUUCUCCUACAAAAAGCGUUCUUCAUGACGGACUGGUGGGCUCGGGGGUGACUUCCAUCCUGCCGAGCCUCCAGCCUCGCUCCUCUUGCACCGAUUGGGGAACCUUUGGGUGGUUGCUUUGGGAACCCGCAGCUGGCU
rnacentral:lncRNA from 1 species